rnacentral:rRNA from 1 species
UUCGUCAUCAGCGGAGACUGCGGAGGUCAUUAUUGAAUAAGAUUGGUUGGGUUGUUGCUGGCUCUCCGGAGCAUGUGCACGCCUAACACCAACUUUUACCACCUGUGCACCUUCUGUAGACCUGGAUAAACCCUCGAGGAAACUCGGUUUGAGGACUGCUGUGCGCAAGCCGGCUCUCCUUGUACUUCCGGUCUAUGUUUUUAUAUAUACCCCUACCAGUAUGUCUCAGAAUGUUUGUUGUUGGGCUUGAAUGCCUUUAAACUUAAUACAACUUUCAACAACGGAUCUCUUGGCUCUCGCAUCGAUGAAGAACGCAGCGAAAUGCGAUAAGUAAUGUGAAUUGCAGAAUUCAGUGAAUCAUCGAAUCUUUGAACGCACCUUGCGCUCCUUGGUAUUCCGAGGAGCAUGCCUGUUUGAGUGUCAUUAAAUUCUCAACCUUUUCAACUUUUUCUGUUGAUCAGGCUUGGAUGUGGGAGUAUGCGGGCUUCUCAGAAGUCGGCUCUCCUGAAAUGCAUUAGCGGGACCUUUGUUGCCUGGCUUUGGUGUGAUAAUUAUCUACGCCAUUGUGAAGAGCAGCUUCAUAAUGAGGUCCAGCUUCUAAUCGUCUCUUUCGAGACAACUUCUGACAAUUUGACCUCAAAUCAGGUAGGACUACCCGCUGAACUUAAGCAUAUCAAUAAGGCGGAGGAA